rnacentral:rRNA from 1 species
UUAAGUUAUUAAGGGCGCACGGUGGAUGCCUUGGCACUAGAAGCCGAUGAAGGACGUUACUAACGACGAUAUGCUUUGGGGAGCUGUAAGUAAGCUUUGAUCCAGAGAUUUCCGAAUGGGGAAACCCAGCAUGAGUUAUGUCAUGUUAUCGAUAUGUGAAUACAUAGCAUAUCAGAAGGCACACCCGGAGAACUGAAACAUCUUAGUACCCGGAGGAAGAGAAAGAAAAUUCGAUUCCCUUAGUAGCGGCGAGCGAAACGGGAAGAGCCCAAACCAACAAGCUUGCUUGUUGGGGUUGUAGGACACUCUAUACGGAGUUACAAAGGACGACAUUAGACGAAUCAUCUGGAAAGAUGAAUCAAAGAAGGUAAUAAUCCUGUAGUCGAAAAUGUUGUCUCUCUUGAGUGGAUCCUGAGUACGACGGAGCACGUGAAAUUCCGUCGGAAUCUGGGAGGACCAUCUCCUAAGGCUAAAUACUCUCUAGUGACCGAUAGUGAACCAGUACCGUGAGGGAAAGGUGAAAAGCACCCCGGAAGGGGAGUGAAAUAGAACCUGAAACCGUGUGCUUACAAGUAGUCAGAGCCCGUUAAUGGGUGAUGGCGUGCCUUUUGUAGAAUGAACCGGCGAGUUACGAUUUGAUGCAAGGUUAAGCAGUAAAUGUGGAGCCGUAGCGAAAGCGAGUCUGAAUAGGGCGUUUAGUAUUUGGUCGUAGACCCGAAACCAGGUGAUCUACCCUUGGUCAGGUUGAAGUUCAGGUAACACUGAAUGGAGGACCGAACCGACUUACGUUGAAAAGUGAGCGGAUGAACUGAGGGUAGCGGAGAAAUUCCAAUCGAACCUGGAGAUAGCUGGUUCUCUCCGAAAUAGCUUUAGGGCUAGCCUCAAGUGAUGAUUAUUGGAGGUAGAGCACUGUUUGGACGAGGGGCCCCUCUCGGGUUACCGAAUUCAGACAAACUCCGAAUGCCAAUUAAUUUAACUUGGGAGUCAGAACAUGGGUGAUAAGGUCCGUGUUCGAAAGGGAAACAGCCCAGACCACCAGCUAAGGUCCCAAAAUAUAUGUUAAGUGGAAAAGGAUGUGGCGUUGCCCAGACAACUAGGAUGUUGGCUUAGAAGCAGCCAUCAUUUAAAGAGUGCGUAAUAGCUCACUAGUCGAGUGACACUGCGCCGAAAAUGUACCGGGGCUAAACAUAUUACCGAAGAUGUGGAUUGUCCUUUGGACAAUGGUAGGAGAGCGUUCUAAGGGCGUUGAAGCAUGAUCGUAAGGACAUGUGGAGCGCUUAGAAGUGAGAAUGCCGGUGUGAGUAGCGAAAGACGGGUGAGAAUCCCGUCCACCGAUUGACUAAGGUUUCCAGAGGAAGGCUCGUCCGCUCUGGGUUAGUCGGGUCCUAAGCUGAGGCCGACAGGCGUAGGCGAUGGAUAACAGGUUGAUAUUCCUGUACCACCUAUAAUCGUUUUAAUCGAUGGGGGGACGCAGUAGGAUAGGCGAAGCGUGCGAUUGGAUUGCACGUCUAAGCAGUAAGGCUGAGUAUUAGGCAAAUCCGGUACUCGUUAAGGCUGAGCUGUGAUGGGGAGAAGACAUUGUGUCUUCGAGUCGUUGAUUUCACACUGCCGAGAAAAGCCUCUAGAUAGAAAAUAGGUGCCCGUACCGCAAACCGACACAGGUAGUCAAGAUGAGAAUUCUAAGGUGAGCGAGCGAACUCUCGUUAAGGAACUCGGCAAAAUGACCCCGUAACUUCGGGAGAAGGGGUGCUCUUUAGGGUUAACGCCCAGAAGAGCCGCAGUGAAUAGGCCCAAGCGACUGUUUAUCAAAAACACAGGUCUCUGCUAAACCGUAAGGUGAUGUAUAGGGGCUGACGCCUGCCCGGUGCUGGAAGGUUAAGAGGAGUGGUUAGCUUCUGCGAAGCUACGAAUCGAAGCCCCAGUAAACGGCGGCCGUAACUAUAACGGUCCUAAGGUAGCGAAAUUCCUUGUCGGGUAAGUUCCGACCCGCACGAAAGGCGUAACGAUUUGGGCACUGUCUCAACGAGAGACUCGGUGAAAUCAUAGUACCUGUGAAGAUGCAGGUUACCCGCGACAGGACGGAAAGACCCCGUGGAGCUUUACUGUAGCCUGAUAUUGAAAUUCGGCACAGCUUGUACAGGAUAGGUAGGAGCCUUUGAAACGUGAGCGCUAGCUUACGUGGAGGCGCUGGUGGGAUACUACCCUAGCUGUGUUGGCUUUCUAACCCGCACCACUUAUCGUGGUGGGAGACAGUGUCAGGCGGGCAGUUUGACUGGGGCGGUCGCCUCCUAAAAGGUAACGGAGGCGCUCAAAGGUUCCCUCAGAAUGGUUGGAAAUCAUUCAUAGAGUGUAAAGGCAUAAGGGAGCUUGACUGCGAGACCUACAAGUCGAGCAGGGUCGAAAGACGGACUUAGUGAUCCGGUGGUUCCGCAUGGAAGGGCCAUCGCUCAACGGAUAAAAGCUACCCCGGGGAUAACAGGCUUAUCUCCCCCAAGAGUUCACAUCGACGGGGAGGUUUGGCACCUCGAUGUCGGCUCAUCGCAUCCUGGGGCUGUAGUCGGUCCCAAGGGUUGGGCUGUUCGCCCAUUAAAGCGGUACGCGAGCUGGGUUCAGAACGUCGUGAGACAGUUCGGUCCCUAUCCGUCGUGGGCGUAGGAAAUUUGAGAGGAGCUGUCCUUAGUACGAGAGGACCGGGAUGGACAUACCUCUGGUGUACCAGUUGUCGUGCCAACGGCAUAGCUGGGUAGCUAUGUGUGGACGGGAUAAGUGCUGAAAGCAUCUAAGCAUGAAGCCCCCCUCAAGAUGAGAUUUCCCAACUUCGGUUAUAAGAUCCCUCAAAGAUGAUGAGGUUAAUAGGUUCGAGGUGGAAGCAUGGUGACAUGUGGAGCUGACGAAUACUAAUCGAUCGAAGACUUAAUCAA